UCCUAGCCCUGAUAGAAGCGACAUCCUUUUGCUUUUUUCUUUAAAAAGCAAAAGAUAUAGCGGAUAGCAGGAAAUUGC
rnacentral:sRNA from 2 species